UACGUAUGGGGCAAGCGUUAUCCGGACUUACUGGGUGUAAAGGGAGCGCAGGCGGCCUGGCAAGCCUGAUGUGAAAUACCGGGGCCCAACCCCGGGGCUGCAUUGGGAACUGCCAGGCUGGAGUGCCGGAGAGGCGGGCGGAAUUCCUAGUGUAGCGGUGAAAUGCGUAGAUAUUAGGAGGAACACCAGUGGCGAAGGCGGCCUGCUGGACGGUGACUGACGCUGAGGCUCGAAAGCGUGGGGAGCAAACAGG
rnacentral:rRNA from 1 species